rnacentral:ncRNA from 1 species
CGACCCCAGGUCAGGCGGGACUACCCGCUGAGUUUAAGCAUAUAAAUAAGCGGAGGAGAAGAAACUUACAAGGAUUCCCCUAGUAACGGCGAGCGAACCGGGAGCAGCCCAGCCUGAGAAUCGGGCGGUUGUGCCGUCCGAAUUGUAGUCUGGAGAGGCGUCCUCAGCGACGGACCGGGCCCAAGUCCCCUGGAAAGGGGCGCCUGGGAGGGUGAGAGCCCCGUCCGGCCCGGACCCUGUCGCCCCACGAGGCGCCGUCAACGAGUCGGGUUGUUUGGGAAUGCAGCCCCAAUCGGGCGGUAGAAUCCGUCCAAGGCUAAAUACAGGCGAGAGACCGAUAGCGAACAAGUACCGCGAGGGAAAGAUGAAAAGGACUUUGAAAAGAGAGUCAAAGAGUGCUUGAAAUUGCCGGGAGGGAAGCGGAUGGGGGCCGNUUGAAAAGAGAGUCAAAGAGUGCUUGAAAUUGCCGGGAGGGAAGCGGAUGGGGGCCGGCGAUGCGCCCCGGCCGUAUGCGGAACGGCUCUUGCUGGUCCGCCGCUCGGCUCGGGGUGUGGACUGUUGUCGGCCGCGCCGGCGGCCAAAGCCCGGGGGCCUUAGGUGCCCCCGGUGGCCGUCGUCGGCACGGCCGGUACCUGCGCGCCGAAAGGCGUGUCCCUCGGGGCACUGCGCUGCAACGGCCUGCGGGCUCCCCAUCCGACCCGUCUUGAAACACGGACCAAGGAGUCUGACAUGCGUGCGAGUCGACGGGUUCUGAAACCUGGGAUGCGCAAGGAAGCUGACGAGCGGGAGGCCCUCACGGGCCGCACCGCUGGCCGACCCUGAUCU